GAACUUCCGUUAAUUGAUUAUGACGUACUUGUACUGAUUGAGAUUUUAACACGAAGUGAGUGGCGAACGGGUGAGUAACACGUGGGUAACCUGCCCAGAAGUAGGGGAUAACACCUGGAAACAGAUGCUAAUACCGUAUAACAGAGAAAACCGCAUGGUUUUCUUUUAAAAGAUGGCUCUGCUAUCACUUCUGGAUGGACCCGCGGCGUAUUAGCUAGUUGGUGAGGUAAAGGCUCACCAAGGCAGUGAUACGUAGCCGACCUGAGAGGGUAAUCGGCCACAUUGGGACUGAGACACGGCCCAGACUCCUACGGGAGGCAGCAGUAGGGAAUCUUCCACAAUGGACGCAAGUCUGAUGGAGCAACGCCGCGUGAGUGAAGAAGGGUUUCGGCUCGUAAAGCUCUGUUGUUAAAGAAGAACGUGGGUAAGAGUAACUGUUUACCCAGUGACGGUAUUUAACCAGAAAGCCACGGCUAACUACGUGCCAGCAGCCGCGGUAAUACGUAGGUGGCAAGCGUUAUCCGGAUUUAUUGGGCGUAAAGCGAGCGCAGGCGGUCUUUUAAGUCUAAUGUGAAAGCCUUCGGCUCAACCGAAGAAGUGCAUUGGAAACUGGGAGACUUGAGUGCAGAAGAGGACAGUGGAACUCCAUGUGUAGCGGUGAAAUGCGUAGAUAUAUGGAAGAACACCAGUGGCGAAGGCGGCUGUCUGGUCUGCAACUGACGCUGAGGCUCGAAAGCAUGGGUAGCGAACAGGAUUAGAUACCCUGGUAGUCCAUGCCGUAAACGAUGAUUACUAAGUGUUGGAGGGUUUCCGCCCUUCAGUGCUGCAGCUAACGCAUUAAAGUAAUCCGCCUGGGGAGUACGACCGCAAGGUUGAAACUCAAAGAAUUGACGGGGGCCCGCACAAGCGGUGGAGCAUGUGGUUUAAUUCGAAGCUACGCGAAGAACCUUACCAGGUCUUGACAUCUCUGACAGUCUAAGGAGAUUNAAGGUUC
rnacentral:rRNA from 1 species